UACAGAAGCCCCAAGCAUUACCCGGAAUCACUGGGCGUAAAGGGUGCGUAGGCGGCUAUGUUAGUCGGAUGUUAAAUCCCGGGGCUCAACCCCGGAAUCGCGUUCGAAACGGCAUAGCUAGGAGAAGUGAGAGGUGUGUGGAACUCAUGGUGUAGGGGUGAAAUCCGUUGAUAUCAUGGGGAACACCAAAUGCGAAGGCAACACACUGGCGCUCUCUCGACGCUGAGGCACGAAAGCGUGGGUAGCGAAUGGG
rnacentral:rRNA from 1 species